AGACCUGGACAUAUCCAUUACCUGAGCAAGAGUGACCUUCAAGCCCAGAAUUGAGGAUACUAGUACUGAUGAAAGGCAACGGCAAGGAGCAUGACAACAUUCUGCUCAAAGUGGGUGGAGAGUAGAUUCCAAUUCUCACAGAGAAGCCGGUCAGAUGCCUGGGGAAGUGGUGUGGCUGCUCACUCUGACGCAGUGAGUGUGAAAAGAACAACAGACCGUGCACCUGGCCGAGUGCAGAGGGUGGAGAAAGGUGGUGUGCCUGUGUAACCUAAGGCAUGGUGCUGGCAGCACACAUUCCUCCUCAAGGUCGUCUAACCCCUUCUAGUGUACAAAUUGAGGUGAGGUGCUGACAUUCCUACUUCAACGAUGGAUCGGAGCUUCCCAAAGCUUCAGGACAAGCUACCCUUCAGAGAUGACAUUGAGGACUGGGACUGCAUGGACAAACAGUCCAGGUCAGCAGUGAUCAAGUUUCACACUGGCUUAAUGUGAUUGGUAGUGGAUGAAGAGGAGUCUCCUUUUUCCACUGGAACAUCACAGCUCUCAUGGUAGGAUUGGUAAGAGUGAAGGAGCACAAAGGAACACUUAUGUUGAAGCUGAUUGUGCCAUGGGAAGAGAGGUUUGAGUAAGCCGAUGAAAACAACUGGAGUACUGCUGAUGAACUGCCAAUCACUUAAGGAUGGGUGUAUGGAGAACAGCUGGACAGCUCAGUGCUUAACAAUGAAAGUGGGAUAAGAACUUUCUAAAGACAGUUGAUACAGGAAAAAAAACUGUAGUAAAGAGGGCAAUAUACAUGACAAUGUGCAAAACUACUAAACAGGAGGAAGUAAGAGGACCAUACUGCAGAGUGUGGAGCACUGGAUUAGGUACUUGGCUCAGACCACAGCAAUAAUAAGAAAGAUGUCCCCUGAUGAGGGGGGGUGGUGGUGGGCAAGAAAAACAAAGGACAAGAUCAUGUGCAACACAGCUGAACAGGAGGAAGAGAGCAUCACACUGGCUUUAGCUGAAGAGUGCAUAACAGUGGAUUAACUACUUGGCUCAGGCCAGACUUGCAAUAACAAAGAUGUCCCCCAAAGAGGGGGGGGUGGUGGUGGGCAAGAAUAAAACCAAAACAUGCCAACAAGUAUUGCUGAAUGGAUUCAAAUUCUUCAAAAAGCCAGUCGGAAACAGUGGAAGGGCAUUGGAUCAGCCAUACAGUUCAUUCUGGGCCUGAUAAACCCAGUCUGUGCAUCCUUCAGAAAGUAUGUGUGAGCACCAGAACAACUACUGAUGAAAGGACCUUAUCUGAGGAUAAAACCAGAGGCAGUGGAGUCAUUCUGGUGUGCACAUUUGAAGGGUGAAUGUAAUUUUUAUUAGGAGGUGAGGGCCGUUUUUUCACAUUGUUUAUGAACCCCCUCCUCCCUACUAGUUUGACAAAAAUAAAGCUUUCAUUUUUCAGUUGAUUUUACUGCAGGAAUGAAAAACUCCUGCAUCACCUGGAUCACAGCAUUAUUUCAGAAAUGAUCUGUAAAUGUAUGUCUACUAAACAUCAAAUGGAGCAAAGACAACAUUGUCUGGCAAUAACAAAGGUUACUGAUAAAAUAUCUUUCCACCUGGCUGACAUCUCUACCUGGAUGGCCAUCCACCACCUGAAGCUCAACCUCAACAAAACUGAGCUGCUGUUCUACCCAUACAAGACCUCCCUA